AUAUGAAGUAGGGUGGGGAAGGAUUGCUACCAGGGGAAUUAUUCAUCUCUCAUAGCACGUUAUCUUGUUUUUCCUCCUCUUGCAGCAUUGUCGAGUUUUCGAGUUGCAGCUACAUGAUGACCCUGCGAUUAUGACUGUGAACUACCAAAACCUUCUUAAUGCAAUUAUCAACCACAUCAUAGGAAUUUGGCAGAAUUUGAAUGUGGAAGGAAAUGGGUUCAUUGAAGGGAUUCUGAGUUUGCCAAAAGGCGAAGGUUAUUUUGUAAUUUCGUUGCUCCCUGCAGUGAACUGGACUCGAGAUAAUUUGGGACCUGUGAGGUUAUUAUUCAGUUUGGAUAAUCUCUAUUGUAUUGGUUUUCAGAGAAACGUGAAUUGGUUCAUAUUUAGUGACCAUUACAUGGAUAUUGAGGAAAGUCUUCGAGGAACCACGGCAAUACCAUUGAAUUUUUCUGGUAAUUAUAACAAUAUAGGUGCCAACUUCACGAGCAUCAAUUUGGGUCUUUACGCGCUAUUUGAGACUUAUAAGGGAAUAGCUGGUUUUCCUGGAUCACUUAUCAAAGGCCCUCUGCUAGUGAGCUCAGUUACUUUCUCAGAGGCGAUCAGGUUUCCGAGAUUUCGUCUAUAUAUGUUCAACCGGAUGUCCCUGGGUACUUCAGUUCCAGAGAACAUUGAAACAUUCUCUGAUCAUUUUACGAACUGGUCAAUAUACUGCCGCCUUAUUCGUCUUGGAAGAGGACGUUUUUCUGGUUUGCCCACUAGUGGAAUAUACAAUUUCAAUGAUCUUCUUGGACUUGUUGGCAUUAUAUUGUAGUUGACAAGAAAGGAGUCAUCUACCUGAGGAUCUGCCCUUCACACUAGUACCUUGCCACCAUGAAAGAAAUAUAAACAGAGCAGUUAAGACAUUUUUUGACUGAAGAGCAGUUAAGACAUUAUGUUGUUGUCAACUUCAUUGAGCUAAGCAUACAAAAUACCGCCUUCCCCCUCAGUUCAGAUGGCAAUUGCAGCUUUCAUUAUAUUUGCAGAUGUUAAUGGUGUCACUGUAGCAGCUUCAGACCUUACCAGGAUUUAAUAUGUGUUGACAUUUUGUAAGUUCCUCUUUGUAUUAUAAUACACUGCCAUGAUUCCAGGGCAUUCCUAUCUUUGCAGCAUGAUUUAUUUCAUAUUUUGCAACCAAUAUCCAGAAUAACCACAUGUUUUGUGUAUCUAGUAGGGUCAACUUAAAAUGGUUUGCUGCUAUGAUAAUUCGACUAGUUCAUCCUAUCCUAAUUUUGACGAUUUCAAACAUACGCAAUUUAAUUCAUUCAUCAAUUAGAAUUUCUAGUAAAAUAAAAUUAAAAAAGACAAAGGGGACCACUUCUUUCUUUUCCAAUGUAUAUUCUUCAUUUUCUUCUCUUUGAACACGCCGUCCGUUCUGUUGGC